AGCGAACGCUGGCGGCAGGCUUAACGCAUGCAAGUCGAGCGGGCAUCCUUGUGGUGUCAGCGGCAGACGGGUGAGUAACGCGUGGGAACGUGCCCUUCGGUUCGGAAUAACUCAGGGAAACUUGAGCUAAUACCGGAUACGUGCGAGAGCAGAAAGGUUUAUCUGCCGAAGGAUCGGCCCGCGUCUGAUUAGCUAGUUGGUGAGGUUACGGCUCACCAAGGCGACGAUCAGUAGCUGGUCUGAGAGGAUGAUCAGCCACACUGGGACUGAGACACGGCCCAGACUCCUACGGGAGGCAGCAGUGGGGAAUAUUGGACAAUGGGGGCAACCCUGAUCCAGCCAUGCCGCGUGAGUGAUGACGGCCUUAGGGUUGUAAAGCUCUUUUCUCCGGGACGAUAGUGACGGUACCGGAGGAAUAAGCCCCGGCUAACUUCGUG
rnacentral:rRNA from 1 species